UACGUAGGUGGCAAGCGUUGUCCGGAUUUACUGGGCGUAAAGAGCGCGCAGGCGGUCGUUCAAGUCGCGUGUGAAAGCCCCCGGCUCAACUGGGGAGGGUCACGCGAUACUGAUCGACUCGAAGGCAGGAGAGGGAAGUGGAAUUCCCGGUGUAGUGGUGAAAUGCGUAGAUAUCGGGGAGGAACACCAGUGGCGAAGGCGGUUCUCUGGGACGGUACUGACGCUGAGACGCGAAAGCGUGGGGAGCGAACAGG
rnacentral:rRNA from 1 species